CACGUAGGGUGCGAGCGUUUGUCCGGAAUUAUUGGGCGUAAAGAGCUCGUAGGCGGUGUGUCGCGUCGGCCGUGAAAACCUGCAGCUUAACUGUGGGCUUGCGGUCGAUACGGGCAUCACUGGAGUUCGGCAGGGGAGACUGGAAUUCCUGGUGUAGCGGUGAAAUGCGCAGAUAUCAGGGAGGGAACACCCGGUGGCGAAAGGCGGGUCUCUGGGCCGGAUACUGACGC
rnacentral:rRNA from 1 species